GCCCGGCUAGCUCAGUCGGUAGAGCAUGAGACUCUUAUCUCAGGGUCGUGGGUUCGAGCCCACGUUGGGCG
rnacentral:tRNA from 1 species